AUUGAACGCUGGCGGCAUGCUUUACACAUGCAAGUCGAACGGCAGCACGGGUGCUUGCACCUGGUGGCGAGUGGCGGACGGGUGAGUAAUACAUCGGAACGUAUCCAGAAGAGGGGGAUAACGCAUCGAAAGAUGUGCUAAUACCGCAUAUUCUCUGAGGAGGAAAGCAGGGGAUCGCAAGACCUUGCGCUUUUGGAGCGGCCGAUGUCUGAUUAGCUAGUUGGUGGGUAAAGGCCUACCAAGGCGACGAUCAGUAGUUGGUCUGAGAGGACGACCAGCCACACUGGGACUGAGACACGGCCCAGACUCCUACGGGAGGCAGCAGUGGGGAAUUUUGGACAAUGGGCGCAAGCCUGAUCCAGCAAUGCCGCGUGAGUGAAGAAGGCCUCGGUUGUAAGACGUCUUUCUAGUCGAGAAGAAAAGGACGUAGUGGU
rnacentral:rRNA from 1 species